UGGGGAAUAUUGCACAAUGGGGGAAACCCUGAUGCAGCGACGCCGCGUGAACGAAGAAGGUAUUCGUAUCGUAAAGUUCUGUCCUAUGGGAAGAUAAUGACAGUACCAUAGAAGAAAGCUCCGGCUAAAUACGUGCCAGCAGCCGCGGUAAUACGUAUGGAGCGAGCGGUGUCCGGAAUUAUUGGGCGUAAAGGGUACGCAGGCGGUUUAAUAAGUCGAAUGUUAAAGAUCGGGGCUCAACCCCGUAAAGCAUUGGAAACUGAUAAACUUGAGUAGUGGAGAGGAAAGUGGAAUUCCUAGUGUAGUGGUGAAAUACGUAGAUAUGAGGAGGAAUACCAGUCGCGAAGGCGACUUUCUGGACACAAACUGACGCUGAGGUACGAAAGCGUGGGGAGCAAACAGG
rnacentral:rRNA from 1 species